rnacentral:rRNA from 1 species
CGGUAGGCAACCUGCCCUCCAGGAUGGGGACAACGGCUCGAAGAGCCGCUAAUACCGAAUGACGUAACUCUUCCACAUGGAAGAGAUACUAAAGAUGGGUCAAACCAUCGCCUAAGGAUGGGCCUGCGUCUGAUUAGCCAGUUGGUGAGGUAACGGCUCACCAAAGCGACGAUCAGUAGCCGGUCUGAGAGGAUGAACGGCCACAAUGGGACUGAGACACGGCCCAU